UACGGCGGCACCACUCCAGAAAGAGCCCGAUCCCGUCAGAUCUCGGAAGCUAAGCGGGGUAGGGCUCGGUUAGUCCAAGGAUGGGAGACCUGCCUUGCGUCGGAUCCGUCCGUGC
rfam:Amazona aestiva scaffold_1057, whole genome shotgun sequence.